GAUCGAGUUGUAAUUUGAAGAAGCGUUUUCUGCGUAUUUGGUCAGCCUAAGUCCUAUUGAAUGAGGCAUCAUGGAGGGUGAUAAUCCCGUCCGGUUGAUCAUUUGCGUUUUACGAUACGCUUUCUAAGAGUCAAGUUGUUUGGGAUUGCAGCUUAAAAUGGGAGGUAAAUUUCUCCUAAGGCUAAAUAACGGCGAGAGACCGAUAGCGAACAAGUAC
rnacentral:rRNA from 1 species